GCGCCCGUAGCUCAGUUGGCAGAGCAGGGGAUUCUUAAUCCUCGUGUCACUGGUUCAAGUCCAGUCGGGCGUAC
rnacentral:tRNA from 1 species